rnacentral:misc_RNA from 1 species
AGAGAGAGAGAGAAAGAUGGUGGGUACAUACUAAGGAUCCUUUAUAAUGUAUUCAGAAAUAAACAAGAGAAUACCUUGACCUUUUAAUAUCAAAUCUCUGGUACUUAUAUGAUAACAACUCAGAGAUUUAGUAAGAGACUGAUGCCAGUUUUCCAGUGUCUUCCAAUGUAACUAACGUGCUUACGGAAAUUUGAAUGCAAAACAAGGAGCAAAACUUACCCAGUGAAGAUCCGUAAAAGCAG